rnacentral:rRNA from 1 species
AUUGAACGCUGGCGGCAUGCCUUACACAUGCAAGUCGAACGGCAGCACGGGAGCAAUCCUGGUGGCGAGUGGCGAACGGGUGAGUAAUACAUCGGAACGUGCCCAGUAGUGGGGGAUAACCCGGCGAAAGCCGGACUAAUACCGCAUACGACCUACGGGUGAAAGCAGGGGAUCGCAAGACCUUGCGCUAUCGGAGCGGCCGAUGUCAGAUUAGCUUGUUGGCGGGGUAAAGCCCACCAAGGCGACGAUCUGUAGCUGGUCUGAGAGGACGACCAGCCACACUGGGACUGAGACACGGCCCAGACUCCUACGGGAGGCAGCAGUGGGGAAUUUGGACAAUGGGCGCAAGCCUGAUCCAGCCAUGCCGCGUGCGGGAAGAA